rnacentral:rRNA from 1 species
AGGCCGAAAGGCGUAGUCGAUGGGAAACAGGUUAAUAUUCCUGUACUUGGUGUUACUGCGAAGGGGGGACGGAGAAGGCUAUGUUAGCCGGGCGACGGUUGUCCCGGUUUAAGCAUGUAGGCUGGUUGUCCAGGCAAAUCCGGAUAAUCAAGGCUGAGGUGUGAUGACGAGGCACUACGGUGCUGAAGUAACAAAUGCCCUGCUUCCAGGAAAAGCCUCUAAGCAUCAGGUAACAUCAAAUCGUACCCCAAA